GCUGAAAUAGCUCAAUUGGUAGAGCACCGCUUUUGUAAUGCGAAGGUUGUGGGUUCGACUCCCAUUUUCAGCUCCA
rnacentral:tRNA from 1 species